rnacentral:sRNA from 2 species
UAUUCCCUACGAUUUUACUUUGUUGUUCGUUAUUUUCAGGUUAUACGGGUUUGGAUGUGUUGCUUCUAUCAUCGCAGCUGUUUCAUUGUAUCCUCCCGCUCUGGCAUCAUAUACCGCAGCGUCGCAUUAAAUCCAGCAGUAUUCCUACUCGCGAUUCCAUCCUGACGGAUGUCAGUUUGCAAGAAUGCGACGGCUGUGUAGGUUUCGUCAACUAAUGUACCCGCCCAGAUGAAUGCGACAGUUCGUAUCUCUGUGCGCGCUUCUCCUCCGCCUCCUCCUCUUUUGCUACGAGCACCUCCCACUUGAAUAUACAGCGAAUUCUAGUUUUAACAAAUGAAAUAGUCAGGUCGCCAGAGAAGGCUUCAAAAUACGAUACAAACUAUGGGUUCGCUUUUAAUUCAUUAUUCAUUUUCAAAAUGCAAAUUCGCACGAAGGUUUAUAUAUAUAUAGCCUCCGAGUUAGUUUCCGAAAGAGGCGACAGUAAAAUGGGUG